AAAAAAGGUAAGCUACUAAGAGCGAAUGGUGGAUGCCUUGACUGGUAAAGGCGAUGAAGGACGUACUAGACUGCGAUAAGCUACGGGGAGCUGUCAAGAAGCUUUGAUCCGUAGAUUUCCGAAUGGGGCAACCCAAUGUAUAGAGAUAUACAUUACCUAUAUAGGAGCGAACGAGGGGAAUUGAAACAUCUUAGUACCCUCAGGAAAAGAAAUCAAUAGAGAUUGCGUCAGUAGCGGCGAGCGAAAGCGUAAGAGGGCAAACCCAGUGCUUGCACUGGGGGUUGUAGGACUGCAAUGUGCAAGAGGUGAGUUUAGCAGAACAUUCUGGAAAGUAUAGCCAUAGAGGGUGAUAGUCCCGUAUGCGAAAAACAAACCUUAGCUAGCAGUAUCCUGAGUAGGGCGGGACACGAGAAAUCCUGUCUGAAGCUGGGUCGACCACGAUCCAACCCUAAAUACUAAUACCAGAUCGAUAGUGCACAAGUACCGUGAGGGAAAGGUGAAAAGAACUGAGGUGAUCAGAGUGAAAUAGAACCUGAAACCAUUUGCUUACAAUCAUUCAGAGCACUAUGUAGCAAUACAGUGUGAUGGACUGCCUUUUGCAUAAUGAGCCUGCGAGUUGUGGUGUCUGGCAAGGUUAAGCAAACGCGAAGCCGUAGCGAAAGCGAGUCUGAAUAGGGCGCUUAGUCAGAUGCUGCAGACCCGAAACGAAGUGAUCUAUCCAUGAGCAAGUUGAAGCUAGUGUAAGAACUAGUGGAGGACUGAACCCAUAGGCGUUGAAAAGCCCCGGGAUGACUUGUGGAUAGGGGUGAAAGGCCAAUCAAACUUCGUGAUAGCUGGUUCUCUCCGAAAUAUAUUUAGGUAUAGCGUUGUGUCGUAAUAUAAGGGGGUAGAGCACUGAAUGGGCUAGGGCAUACACCAAUGUACCAAACCCUAUCAAACUCCGAAUACCUUAUAUGUAAUCACAGCAGUCAGGCGGCGAGUGAUAAAAUCCGUCGUCAAGAGGGAAACAACCCAGACUACCAGCUAAGGUCCCUAAAUCUUACUUAAGUGGAAAACGAUGUGAAGUUACUUAAACAACCAGGAGGUUGGCUUAGAAGCAGCCAUCCUUUAAAGAAAGCGUAAUAGCUCACUGGUCUAGUGAUUUUGCGCGGAAAAUAUAACGGGGCUAAAGUAAGUACCGAAGCUGUAGACUUGAUUUUAUCAAGUGGUAGGAGAGCGUUCUAUUUGCGCCGAAGGUAUACCGGUAAGGAGUGCUGGAGCGAAUAGAAGUGAGCAUGCAGGCAUGAGUAGCGAUAAUUAAUGUGAGAAUCAUUAACGCCGUAAACCCAAGGUUUCCUACGCGAUGCUCGUCAUCGUAGGGUUAGUCGGGUCCUAAGUCGAGUCCGAAAGGGGUAGACGAUGGCAAAUUGGUUAAUAUUCCAAUACCAACAUUAGUGUGCGAUGGAAGGACGCUUAGGGCUAAGGGGGCUAGCGGAUGGAAGUGCUAGUCUAAGGUCGUAGGAGGUUAUACAGGCAAAUCCGUAUAACAUACUCCGAGAACUGAAAGGCUUUUUGAAGUCUUCGGAUGGAUAGAAGAACCCCUGAUGCCGUCGAGCCAAGAAAAGUUUCUAAGUUUAGCUAAUGUUGCCCGUACCGUAAACCGACACAGGUGGGUGGGAUGAGUAUUCUAAGGCGCGUGGAAGAACUCUCUUUAAGGAACUCUGCAAAAUAGCACCGUAUCUUCGGUAUAAGGUGUGGUUCGCUUCGUAUUAGGAUUUACUCCGAAAGCGAAGAAACUUACAACAAAGAGUCCCUCCCGACUGUUUACCAAAAACACAGCACUCUGCUAACUCGUAAGAGGAUGUAUAGGGUGUGACGCCUGCCCGGUGCUCGAAGGUUAAUUGAUGGGGUUAGCAUUAGCGAAGCUCUUGAUCGAAGCCCGAGUAAACGGCGGCCGUAACUAUAACGGUCCUAAGGUAGCGAAAUUCCUUGUCGGUUAAAUACCGACCUGCAUGAAUGGCGUAACGAGAUGGGAGCUGUCUCAAAGAGGGAUCCAGUGAAAUUGUAGUGGAGGUGAAAAUUCCUCCUACCCGCGGCAAGACGGAAAGACCCCGUGGACCUUUACUACAGCUUGACACUGCUAUUUGGAUAAGAAUGUGCAGGAUAGGUGGGAGGCUUUGAGUAUAUGACGCCAGUUGUAUAUGAGCCAUUGUUGAGAUACCACUCUUUCUUAUUUGGGUAGCUAACCAGCUUGAGUUAUCCUCAAGUGGGACAAUGUCUGGUGGGUAGUUUGACUGGGGCGGUCGCCUCCCAAAUAAUAACGGAGGCUUACAAAGGUUGGCUCAGAACGGUUGGAAAUCGUUCGUAGAGUAUAAAGGUAUAAGCCAGCUUAACUGCAAGACAUACAAGUCAAGCAGAGACGAAAGUCGGUCUUAGUGAUCCGGUGGUUCUGUGUGGAAGGGCCAUCGCUCAAAGGAUAAAAGGUACCCCGGGGAUAACAGGCUGAUCUCCCCCAAGAGCUCACAUCGACGGGGAGGUUUGGCACCUCGAUGUCGGCUCAUCGCAUCCUGGGGCUGGAGCAGGUCCCAAGGGUAUGGCUGUUCGCCAUUUAAAGCGGUACGCGAGCUGGGUUCAGAACGUCGUGAGACAGUUCGGUCCCUAUCUGCCGUGGGCGUAAGAAGAUUGAAGAGAUUUGACCCUAGUACGAGAGGACCGGGUUGAACAAACCACUGGUGUAGCUGUUGUUCUGCCAAGAGCAUCGCAGCGUAGCUAAGUUUGGAAAGGAUAAACGCUGAAAGCAUCUAAGCGUGAAGCCAACUCUAAGAUGAAUCUUCUCUAAGCUCUCUAGAAGACUACUAGUUUGAUAGGCUGGGUGUGUAAUGGAUGAAAGUCCUUUAGCUGACCAGUACUAAUAGAGCGUUUGGCUUAUCUUUAAUAAAGCAU
rnacentral:rRNA from 1 species